UACGAAGGGGGGCUAGCGUUGUUCGGAAUUACUGGGCGUAAAGCGCGCGCAGGCGGUCUUCCAAGUCAGUGGUGAAAGCCCGGAGCUCAACUCCGGAACUGCCAUUGAAACUGUUAGACUUGAGGAUGAGAGAGGUGAGUGGAAUUCCCAGUGUAGAGGUGAAAUUCGUAGAUAUUGGGAAGAACACCGGUGGCGAAGGCGGCGCUCUGGACCGAGACUGACGCUGAGGCGCGAAGGCGUGGGGAGCAAACAGG
rnacentral:rRNA from 1 species